rnacentral:misc_RNA from 1 species
GAUGAAGAACGCAGCGAAAUGCGAUAAGUAAUGUGAAUUGCAGAAUUCAGUGAAUCAUCGAAUCUUUGAACGCACAUUGCGCCCGCCAGUAUUCUGGCGGGCAUGCCUGUCCGAGCGUCAUUUCAACCCUCAGGCCCUGGUUGCCUGGUGUUGGGGCGCCGCGCACCCUCUGCGGGCGCGGGCCCCGAAAGUCAGUGGCGGGCUCGCCAGGACUCCGAGCGCAGUAAUUUUCUCUCGCUGUGGAGCGCCUGGUGGGUUACCAGCCGUAAAACACCCCAAAUUCCAAAGGUUGACCUCGGAUCAGGUAGGAAUACCCGCUGAACUUAAGCAUAUCAAUAAGCGGAGGA